GACGAACGCUGGCGGCGUGCUUAACACAUGCAAGUCGAACGGAAAGGCCCUGCUUUUGUGGGGUGCUCGAGUGGCGAACGGGUGAGUAACACGUGAGUAACCUGCCCUUGACUUUGGGAUAACUUCAGGAAACUGGGGCUAAUACCGGAUAGGAGCUCCUGCUGCAUGGUGGGGGUUGGAAAGUUUCGGCGGUUGGGGAUGGACUCGCGGCUUAUCAGCUUGUUGGUGGGGUAGGGGCUUACCAAGGCUUUGACGGGUAGCCGGCCUGAGAGGGUGACCGGCCACAUUGGGACUGAGAGACGGCCCAGACUCCUACGGGAGGCAGCAGUGGGGAAUAUUGCGCAAUGGGCGGAAGCCUGAUGCAGCAACGCCGCGUGCGGGAUGACGGCCUUCGGGUUGUAAACCGCUUUCGCCUGUGACGAAGCGUGAGUGACGGUAAUGAGUAAAGAAGCACCGGCUAACUACGUG
rnacentral:rRNA from 1 species